rnacentral:rRNA from 1 species
AGUGAACGCUGGCGGUAGGCCUAACACAUGCAAGUCGAACGGCAGCACAGUAAGAGCUUGCUCUUACGGGUGGCGAGUGGCGGACGGGUGAGGAAUACAUCGGAAUCUACUUUUUCGUGGGGGAUAACGUAGGGAAACUUACGCUAAUACCGCAUACGACCUACGGGUGAAAGCAGGGGAUCUUCGGACCUUGCGCGAUUGAAUGAGCCGAUGUCGGAUUAGCUAGUUGGCGGGGUAAAGGCCCACCAAGGCGACGAUCCGUAGCUGGUCUGAGAGGAUGGUCAGCCACACUGGAACUGGGACACGGUCCAGACUCCUACGGGAGGCACCAGUGGGGAAUAUUAGACAAUGGGGGCAAGCCUGAUCCAGCCAUACCGCGUGGGUGAAGAAGGCCUUCGGGUUGUAAAGCCCUUUUGUUGGGAAAGAAAAGCAGCAGGUUAAGACCCCGCUGUUCUGACGGUACCCAAAGAAUAAGCACCGGCUAACUUCGUG